AUUGAACGCUGGCGGCAUGCCUUACACAUGCAAGUCGAACGGCAGCACGGGUGCUUGCACCUGGUGGCGAGUGGCGAACGGGUGAGUAAUACAUCGGAACGUACCUUAUCGUGGGGGAUAACGCAGCGAAAGCUGUGCUAGUACCGCAUACGCCCUGAGGGGGAAAGCGGGGGAUCGAAAGACCUCGCGCGAUUAGAGCGGCCGAUGCCUGAUGAGCUUGUUGGUGGGGUAAAAGCCCACCAAGGAGACGAUCAGUAGCUGGUCUGAGAGGACGAUCAGCCACACUGGGACUGAGACACGGCCCAGACUCCUACGGGAGGCAGCAGUGGGGAAUUUUGGACAAUGGGGGCAACCCUGAUCCAGCAAAGCCGCGUGAGUGAAGAAGGCCUUCGGGUUGUAAAGCUCUUUUGUCAGGGAAGAAACACCGGCUCUAACACAGUCCGGGAAUGACGGUACCUGAAGAAUAAGCACCGGCUAACUACGUGCCAGCCGCCGCGGUAA
rnacentral:rRNA from 1 species